rnacentral:rRNA from 1 species
UCCAGACUCCUACGGGAGGCAGCAGUGGGGAAUAUUGCACAAUGGGGGAAACCCUGAUGCAGCGACGCCGCGUGAGCGAGGAAGUAUUUCGGUAUGUAAAGCUCUAUCAGCAGGGAAGAAAAUGACGGUACCUGACUAAGAAGCCCCGGCUAACUACGUGCCAGCAGCCGCGGUAAUACGUAGGGGGCAAGCGUUAUCCGGAUUUACUGGGUGUAAAGGGAGCGUAGGCGGCUGUGUAAGCCAGAAGUGAAAGCCCGGGGCUCAACUCCGGGACUGCUUUUGGAACUACAUGGCUUGAGUGCAGGAGAGGCAAGUGGAAUUCCUAGUGUAGCGGUGAAAUGCGUAGAUAUUAGGAGGAACACCAGUGGCGAAGGCGGCUUACUGGACGGUAACUGACGUUGAGGCUCGAAGGCGUGGGGAGCAAACAGGAUUAGAUACCCCUGUAAUA